rnacentral:rRNA from 1 species
GACGAACGCUGGCGGCGUGCCUAAUACAUGCAAGUCGAGCGAAGCGGCGGUUGGGUGAGUAACGCGUGGGUAACCUGCCCUUAAGUCUGGGACACUAUUUGGAAACAGAUGCUAAUACCGGAUACUUAAGGAUGGGCCUGGGUUGCAUUAGCUAGUGGGUAAGGUAACGGCUUACCAAGGCGAUGAUGCAUAGCCGGGUUGAGAGACUGAUCGGCCACACUGGAACUGAGACACGGCCCAGACUCCUACGGGAGGCAGCAGUAGGGAAUCUUCCACAAUGGGCGCAAGUCUGAUGGAGCAACGCCGCGUGAGUGAAGAAGGUUUUCGGGUCGUAAAGCACUGUUGUUGGUGAAGCGGUAAUCAACCAGAAAGUCACGGCUAACUACGUGCCAGCAGCCGCGGUAAUAC